AGUAGGAAGGAGACAAAAUAAAAAAGAAUAGCGCAGCCACCCGCAGUCCCGCGCGACCUUGCCUCCUCGAUCCCAUCUCGACAUCCAUCCCGCCGCCACCUCCUGCCCCGCCCCACCGUGCGCCGCCCGCCGCCGCCGCGCCUGCGCCGACGUCCCCCGUAUCCAUGCUCCUCUGUCCGAAUCCCGCCGCCGCGCCCGUCCCGCUCACCGUGGCUGAUGAUCGUUUCCCUCCCCAAACGGCGGCCAUAAUGAAGGGCGUCGCCCAGCUCCUGACCGGCGGACGGACUCGCCGGGUCCCCGCUCCUCGGGGCCAGCCCCUCCUCCGUGGAUCGCGCAUCGGCUUGGAGGCCCCUCGGGGCUGCCGCCGGUGCGGGAGUUCCUGCGCGGCCGUGCGGGCUGGGGACCGAGCGGCGGGGCCCGUGUGCGUUCCCGGCGAAGGCUUGCUGGGGCUGGCCGGGAUCUGAGGGACUAGAUUGCUGGCUAGAUCUUCCUAACUGAACCACUUGAUGUUAAACUCUGUACGUGUAUAGCUAGAUUGCCUGCUAGAUCUUGCUUUAUAAAUUAUUCAUUGCCUUCCAUACAAAGGUUCUGGUUUUGACUUUUGUUUCAGAUAUUAAUUUUUGUUCUAGCUCUUUUUUGUACAGACAAUGUGUGUGCUGUUUAAACGAUGAUUAUGACAUUGCGAGGCCUGGUCCAUGAUGCAGUUCCACCUCUCUCCGUAGCACAAAACCUUUCUUGCCACACAUUAUGCAAGUCAUCCUCAUUGAUCAUACAUUUAUAAUUUCUUCACGGUUCAGUAUAUCACAUAUAUUAGGAUGUUAAAGCCACUCAUGGGUUGGAUGCUAUAGCAUAAGGAAAAUUGAUAGCCAGCCAUGAUCGUCCAUCCAUCAAUUUAGUUUGCUUUUUCUUCUGUUGUUAGUUUCUACUACUUUGCUAGCUAAGUGAUGUCUAUCUGAAGCUGUGAACCUUAUGAACCCUGAUCUGAAUCUUGGUGUUUGCGAAUUCUGAAUGAAGGGCAUGGAACCAGUCCUUCUAAAUGAAUUUGCUGAUGAGUGUGUUGCAUUGUUGAUUUCAUGGUUAUUCUUCAUUUUGGAUGCAUGGCUAUUCUUGGGUUUGAGCCAUAGGCAUGCAGCAAUGAAAUCUAAUUGCAUUGAUGCCGAGAGGCGAGAGGAAAGUUCUCGCCUUGGGCUUGAUCCAGGUCAGGGAGGAUUGGAGAUUGAAUGAAUUUGCUGGGCUUUUCACACUAUUUUAAGGCAGAUAAAAUGAAAAUUAGUUAGAAAAUAGAAGUGACUGGAUAGGGAGAGAGAGAGACUUGUUCGAAACAGAGUGGGGUUGGGAAUAUGACAAAUUUUCAGCUGUGACAAUGAGCAAUAAUUAAACUAUCUGGUGGUUAUGUUGUUCAGCAGGCUGAGUGCACACAAAAUCACUCCAUUCGUUGGAAUAAAAUGAGAAGGCGCGGUGCACACAGACGCUGGUGAAUCCAAGACGCGGCGACUUCUCGGUCCUGCCAUCUAACUAUUGCAUUUACGAGUGAUGCAAUUUUUAAAAGGGUUUGGUUUCUGUCAAUAAAUUAAACAUGAAUGAGUCUCCAAAAAUAAAAUACUAUUGCAAAAGGGCCCGUGCGUUGCAACGGGACAAAAAAACAUAUCACAAUCUUCAAUGUAAUUAUGUAACACUUAUUUAAUUCAUUUUUUUCAAACGUCAGAAAUAAAGCUACAUUAAGUAUUUCUUUUUGGACUAUGGAAUUUGGACGUAUCGUAGACAUGUUUGUCAUGACCCAUUUCAGCUCUUCGAUGAAAGAGUUUUUCAAUCAUUUUUAUUUUUGUUGUUCAGAAAAACAUGAAUAUAUAUUUAAUUUGAGAAGGAUUUUUUUCCUAAUUUGUUAGAAUAUUUUUUAAAUGGAAUCAUUUUUUUGAGAUGGAAAUGGAAUCAUUUUUAUGGUGACUAACAUUUGGAAUAUUAUAUUUCAUCUGUAAUAACUUUCGUGAGCAUCAAACAAUGAUGCAUCCUAAACAUAAUUUUAAAAAUGAUUAACCUGGAAGAUAAUAGCAUAUUUAAAAUCUACACAUUUUUCUGAGAAAUUUUCAUAUAAAACAUGUUAGAUUUGAAGUUAGGAUUUGAGAGAUACCACUAUUUUUAAAAUAUUUGAAUUUGAAAAAAGAAAUUGAACAAAGAGAAAAAGCAUGUUGGGUCGAGCAGCCAAAAAGGAAAGAAAGAACGGUCACGUUGUGCAGCCAAAAAGGAAAGGAAGAAAAAAAAGAAGGAAGGACACAAGCUCCAACCACCCGGGUAGGACAUAUGCUUGUUUUAUAUUAGAGUGUGGCAUCCUAUAUGAACCAGACGCGAGGCGGAUGCAGCCGCAGUGAACAGUUUUUUCUCACUUACCGGUGGCAUAGUGGGUAAUUAGUGCGAACUUUGGGGGCAAUUUUUCUGACGGACGACCAGAAAUACUAUUUGCUUUAUUAUUAGGGAAAGAUUUGAAGAAUUCACUUCACAAGAGCACAUGGUUCCA